rnacentral:rRNA from 1 species
CCAGGCUCCUACGGGAGGCAGCAGUGAGGAAUAUUGGUCAAUGGGCGGAAGCCUGAACCAGCCAAGUCGCGUGAGGGAAGAAGGCCCUGCGGGCCGCAGACCUCUUUGGACGGGGAGCAAGGCCGCCGACGUGUCGGCGGAAGGAGAGUACCCGUAGAACAAGCAUCGGCUAACUCCGUGCCAGCAGCCGCGGUAAUACGGGGGGUGCAAGCGUUGUCCGGAAUCAUUGGGCGUAAAGAGUUCGUAGGCGGCACGUAAAGUCUGGUGUUAAAGGCAGAGGCUCAACUUCUGUACGGCGCUGGAUACUUGCGAGCUAGAAUGCGGUAGAGGUAAAGGGAAUUCCUGGUGUAGCGGUGAAAUGCUUAGAUAUCAGGAGGAACAUCGGUGGCGUAAGCGCUUUACUGGGCCGUAAUUGACGCUGAGGAACGAAAGCCAGGGUAGCAAAUGGGAUUAGAUACCCGUGUA